rnacentral:rRNA from 1 species
UACGUAGGGUGCGAGCGUCGUCCGGAAUUAUUGGGCGUAAAGGGCUCGUAGGCGGUUUGUCGCGUCGGGAGUGAAAACAUCCAGCUUAACUGGAUGCUUGCUUUCGAUACGGGCAGACUUGAGGCAUGCAGGGGAGAAUGGAAUUCCUGGUGUAGCGGUGAAAUGCGCAGAUAUCAGGAGGAACACCGGUGGCGAAGGCGGUUCUCUGGGCAUGUCCUGACGCUGAGGAGCGAAAGUGUGGGGGGCGAACAGG